AGUAUGCUUGCAGCGUCCGCUGGCAGAGGGCCGAGCGCACGCAGUCAUCUUUGGUAAAGCGGACGAUGCCAAUCAUCUCAUCUUCCUCAAAACGUGCCAGCGCAUCGCUCAGGCCGGACUGGACGCCCGACGGCAAAUCGCACUGGGUGAUAUCACCGUUAACGAUCACGGUCACGUUCUCCCCGAGGCGUGUC
rfam:Escherichia vulneris NBRC 102420 DNA, contig: EV10242014.